rnacentral:rRNA from 1 species
GACGAAGGGGGCAAGCGUUGUUCGGAAUUACUGGGCGUAAAGCGCGUGUAGGUGGUUGCACGAGUCAGGCGUGAAAGCCUCGAGCUCAACUCGAGAACUGCGCUUGAUACUGUGCGGCUAGAGGACCGGAGAGGAUAGUGGAAUUCCCAGUGUAGUGGUGAAAUACGUAGAGAUUGGGAAGAACACCAGUGGCGAAGGCGGCUAUCUGGACGGUUUCUGACACUAAGACGCGAAAGCGUGGGGAGCAAACAGG